ACUUCGUCCAACAAACGUCAACGGCUGGGAAAUCAACGCUACUGCAUUAUGGGUAACCUGGGAUCCGAUGCCAAACACAAGAGAGGCUAUCAAAGGGGUUAUUCAAGGCUAUGAGAUUAAUGUAGAAGAUGCCAAUAACCCUAACCGUAAGGGUGUUACCGCCUAUCACUAUGGGUAUAUGUCAGGAAAUAAUGUCAUAGGACUGGAACCCAACACCGACUACUGGGUGACCGUACAAGUGUUUAACACGGCAGGAGAAAGUAAUCCUAGCGAAAAACAGCUUCUGGGCACAUGCUUAAACCCGCCAUUACUGUAUCCCGAGUUUGUAGACAUCCUGUCAGAUGGACCUAACAGCGUGUAUGUUAAAUGGAGAGGCGUGUCCACAGGACUGUUUGAAGAAACUCUCAGAGGUUACAAGAUACGAUGGUGGCUUCUUGGAGAAAAUAUCAAAUCAGCUAAUGAUACUAUUGUUGGUAAACAAACCCACGGGGUGGUGUAUGGAAUAGCCAAAGGAUAUGUCUAUGCCCUCCGUGUACUUGGUUUUAGCAAGGGUGGAGACGGUAAAAUGAGUCCCACACAGUAUUUUACUUUAGGUGGUAGAGUGCACGUUGACUCGAGAAUAUCCGUUAUAAAAUUGGCGGGAACAUCACUUAGCCCAUCCCUAGUCAUCCUCUGCUUUCUUUGUUUUGUUCAGUUUAUCCUUUAAUCAUCUCACCAAAGAUCCACGACAAAUCCAAAGGAUAUAGAAAUCCAUAUAAUUAUUCUAUUUUCAUUUUCGAUGUAUUUUACUUUUAAACAUUGUAGAUUCAUACUAACUUUUAUACAAUUAGUUUUUUAUGCAUUUAGUAUAGUUACCUCUAGUUUUCUCACAGUAAUUGUUUUUAAUAGUCCCAUGUUACUGUGCAUUAAACAAUAGAAUAUUAGAUGUUAAAAUGUUUCUUUAUUGAUGCAUUUAUUUGAAGUAACUAGUAACCGGGUGGGUUUACACCUGGUAGUUAAAUUACUGCAUGUGUACAUAAAUUGGUGUAUUCAUAAUUAAGCACCAUCACUCUGUAUUGAGUUGGCGUAUUCGUCAAUUUGUGACACACACUUCCGCACUUUAUAUUGUAUUUAUAUAUGAUUUCUUGGCGGUAUUCAUAAAUUAGCGCAUCAAUGUCUGUGCCAAAGCCGCUAAAAUAUUAAGCCUGCAUUUUUAUGAAUAUAUACAGUUCAUUUACCGUGUAGAAAUCUGUUGCUAGCCUUAAAAGAUCUGGUGUCAAUUUAACCAUCAUGCAGAAAUGUUGAUGCAGUUUCUUGUGAAGUGAAAUAAAACUGUUGAUGGAUGCCUAAACAUG